GAUAUAGUCCAGUGGUUAGGAUAUUCCGCUUUCACCGGAAAGACCCGGGUUCAAACCCGUAAGUCCA
rnacentral:tRNA from 1 species